GAUGAACGCUGGCGGCGUGCCUAAUACAUGCAAGUCGAGCGGACGGACGAGAAGCUUGCUGCUCUGAUGUUAGCGGCGGACGGGUGAGUAACACGUGGAUAACCUACCUAUAAGACUGGGAUAACUUCGGGAAACCGUAGCUAAUACCGGAGAAUAUUUUGAACCGCAUGGUUCAAAAGUGAAAGACGGUCUUGCUGUCACUUAUAGAUGGAUCCGCGCUGCAUUAGCUAGUUGGUAAGGUAACGGCUUACCAAGGCAACGAUGCAUAGCCGACCUGAGAGGCUGAUCGGCCACACUGGAACUGAGACACGGUCCAGACUCCUACGGGAGGCAGCAGUAGGGAAUCUUACGCAAUGGGCGAAAGCCUGACGGAGCAACGCCGCGUGAGUGAUGAAGGUCUUCGGAUCGUAAAACUCUGUUAUUAGGGAAGAACAUAUGUGUAAGUAACUGUGCACAUCUUGACGGUACCUAAUCAGAAAGCCACGGCUAACUACGUG
rnacentral:rRNA from 1 species